rnacentral:lncRNA from 10 species
CACAGUUUUCCAGAGUCAUAUGACCCUUUUCUAUCCAAUAAAAAAUGUCCUGGAAAGCUCUCCUUUCAUGAUAAGAUUGGCAUAAGAGGAGAGUUACCUGGUGCUGCUUCUUUCCCUGUCUGAAACAUGGAUGAGAUGGCUGGAGCCACAGCAGCCACCCUGCAACAGAAGGCCACCAGCAUGAAGAAGGCUGUCUCCUGCGAGGACCAGAAGUUGAGCCAAGGCACAUGGAACUUACAAUAGCAGAUGGUAAGAACCAGGGCAGAAGGAGAACUCCUGAAGCCUCCGAAGGAAGGAAAUCAUUACAGGGCCCUACAGAAGUAGGUCAUGUGCUACAGCUGCUCAUAGUUUAAGAGGAAGAAACAUGGGAUCUCAAACCUGGAACACGACUCUUUCAAAAUGCUUGUGAGCAACCCAAGAAAAACAUCCUCCUGAGGCUUAUCUAAUAACCAUGAUCUCUAAUCGUCUCAAUGUGUGCUCAUGUUUCCUUAGGAGUUUGCACCCACUUCUCAGAGCUAACGAGAUGCCGAAACAGAACACAGAAAAAAGUAAUGAAGGAGAUUUAAUAGUUUGUGUUAAAGCUAAUAUGGUCCAUUAGGGGCUGUCAUUUUUAUAAACAGUGAGGAUACGUUACCCUCUUCUUUGGUGUAAAGUCAUUCCGUGCAGGACCUGUAAACAUUCAGUAAUGAUCUGUAGAACAUGCAUGAACGACAAUUAAAGCACCACUUGAAAAGUCUGUUUUCCUCACAUAUUUGUUUUCUUGCUAAAUAAACUUGUAAAGUUCAUACAUGUGUACGCAUAUGCUUACAUUAUAAAAAAAGUGUGCAUUUCAUUAAGAACAUCUACGAACAGAUAUAAGUGUUUUUGGUUCCCAUUAGCUUGAGAAAUAUCAGAAGUGAUUAGUUAAAUGAGGAGCAUAGGUUCUGUUUUUUAGUGCAUACUAUAAUAAUAAAACAACCACUCUUUUAUGGUAGCUUAGCAAGACAAAAUUAUAGUUCACAAUGUCAUGAAAGGCAUGAUUACAACCUUUGAAAGUUACAAGUAAAAAAGCUUCUAUAAAACCUAUCUGUUGCCAAAAAAUUAUGUUCUACAGUGAUUCAGAUAUAUUUCUGAAAUUUAUUUUUUAAUUGUGGCUGAUACCAA